AUUCCAGCUCCAAUAGCGUAUACUAAAGUUGUUGCAGUUAAAAAGCUCGUAGUUGAAUUUCUGGUCUCGGACAGCGGUCUGCCUCAAACGAGGUACGCACCACCUGUUCAGGUCCAUCCUCGGAGAAAACAUGCCUGUGAUUCAGUUCAUGGGUACGGGAUCUUCGUCAUUUACUGUGAGCAAAAUAGAGUGUUCAAAGCAGGCUUAUGCCGUUGAAUACAUUAGCAUGGAAUAAUAAAAUAAGACCUUGGUCUAUUUUGUUGGUUUGUACUCCAAGGUAAUGAUUAAUGGGGAUAGUUGGGGGUAUUCGUAUUCAAUUGUCAGAGGUGAAAUUCUUGGAUUUAUGGAAGACGAACUACUGCGAAAGCAUUUACCAAGGAUGUUUUCAUUA
rnacentral:rRNA from 1 species